rnacentral:rRNA from 1 species
CCUACGGGUAGCAGCAGUGAGGAAUAUUGGUCAAUGGACGAGAGUCUGAACCCGCCAAGUAGCGUGAAGGAUGACUGCCCUAUGGGUUGUAAACUUCUUUUAUAUGGGAAUAAAAUGUUCCACGUGUGGGAUUUUGUAUGUACCAUAUGAAUAAGGAUCGGCUAACUCCGUGCCAGCAGCCGCGGUAAUACGGAGGAUCCGAGCGUUAUCCGGAUUUAUUGGGUUUAAAGGGAGCGUAGGUGGAUUGUUAAGUCAGUUGUGAAAGUUUGCGGCUCAACCGUAAAAUUGCAGUUGAAACUGGCAGUCUUGAGUACAGUAGAGGUGGGCGGAAUUCGUGGUGUAGCGGUGAAAUGCUGAGAUAUCACGAAGAACUCCGAUUGCGAAGGCAGUUCACUGGACUGCAACUGACACUGAGGCUCGAAAGUGUGGGUAUCAAACAGGAUUAGAUACCCUGGUAGUC